GAGUCUGAAUGGUUCAAACAAUAGCAAAAAAGGAUUAUUUCUCUCUUGGACAUUUCAAAGUACUAUGACACAAAAUAUCCAAGACUUGUUAUGGUGAGGAGCCAAGUGGAAUGGAAAGGACAGCUCAUCCCGGCGGCUGGGAGUGCAUGCACACACAUGCCCCCUUUUUCUUGCCUACUAACAGGAUCUAUAGAAGGCGUACAUAAUGAAGCAAGUUGCAAGACAAGUCCAAAUUCAAGAAGGUCAAGAAAUACACUCCAUCUCCAGAGAAAUCUAUGACUUUGAGUUGAAAUAUCUGAGGCCAACACUCCAAGCAAUUUUAAACAAGUGGUGACAGAAAUUACCAGACACACAUCAAGACUCAAGUAUAAAGCUAUACAAUUUAAGGAUGCUCAGCAAAUGUUACUGAAUUGACUGGGUAGUCCCUAAAGAGCUGAAGAAUAAAAGAUGUUAUGAGAAAUCCAACAAUACCAAAUAUAAAUUGCCUCAGGUUCUGAAAUAUUCAAUAAAGUAUUCUCACUGUA
ensembl:lncRNA LINC02059 long intergenic non-protein coding RNA 2059